UCUGUCAACAAGAUCCCCCAUCUCCCUUUCCGUAUCAUGUUGUCCAGUCUAUCAUUCCCUGUCCAUACACCCAGAGUUGCCCCAUCCCCUACGGCACAAAAUACUAUUUUUCUUGACCACUGAUUUCCACCCAAUAAUGAAUACGUCUUUUACUCAGAGUUUACUGAGGUUCUUGGGAGUUUGCUUACGACUGCCAAAAUGCUGGAUGGCCCUUCAGCCAUGUCUGCAUGAACUAUGUCUGGACCUGAGAGUAUCCAAGCACCCCAAGGGCUGCAACUUGGAGAAAAUAAUGAAAAAAGAACCUACUGGACAGUGGACAAAAAGGCAUAGAAAAGUGGCCUCUGCCCAGAUUCAAACCCCAUACAGUAAGGUGAAAAAUGGAUUAGAGCCAAAGCCAGGCAAAAGCCUUGUUCAGACCUUAACUGGUGUUUUAUUAGUGCUCCUUAGGGCUGGUAUCACACAGCACUGGGAGUUCCUUUAGCAUGCUCCACCAGGAACAUAAAAACAAUUAGUCCCUAGGUUUGAUCAAUGCUCACCUCAGCCCUGCUCUGAGUAAGCUCUUCCACUGAGCCACUGAGGCUCCUGGGACAACAUGAUUGAUGCCCAAGGGUUUUUUCCAAAAUGAGGGUGAUGUGGGAAACUUUCUGGAUGUUAAACCUCAGGCCAGUCCAUGAUUUGGAAAAAAAGCCAUGAAAGCUGUUGGAAAGAGCUGCCAGCACCUGCCAGGCAGUGGGAGAAGGUGGCAGGAGGAGGAAGGGUGAAGCCUGUUGUUCCAAAACAAUACAUAUGGUGGUCAGCAAGAACCUCCACAACCACUGGGACAUUUCAGCAACUUCCUUGGGUGGCAAAGAGGUUUUUAUUUGUGUCUGCUCUGCGUCUUGAGGUCAUGAUGUUACUAUUUCUUCUAUCCUCGGUGUUACAGCUAGUCCUGCCAGUCCGUGUGGUGCCUUAAAUCUCAGAAUAUUUCAUGACCAGGCCUUGAAAUCAGCUCCACUCAGACAUUUACAGGAACAUUUUCAAGUUCAUUUAUUUGUCAAAUUGCAGUUUCAAAUUGUUAGCAGAUUCAUGUCUCCAGCCCACUGCCAUUCCAAAGACAAAAAAGAAAAAAAAAAAGAAAAAUAAUUGAGAACUGAGAAGUCCAAAUAUUUUCAUUCAACUUUUUUUUUAUAAUGAAGCAUUUUGGGACAAUGUUCUGCUUUGGUAUGCAAUUAAAUCUGAGUUUUCUGAAGCAGAAAUUCCACCUUAUCCCUAACUUAAAACAUCUGAUCCUGAAUGAAAUUCUGCAGGCAACCAAGGUUAAUGUGUGUGUGUGUGUAUGUGCAGAAAAGCGGAGGAAGUAGGUUUUCAGAAAAAGCAAAGCACCUAAGCAUGAUUCUUAAAAAGAAAGAUAGGAAAAAGAAUGGUAGUUAUUGCCAAGCUCUAGGUGUACCUCUGGUGAUGGCUGCCUUGCUUUUUUGAGCAGUUUUUACCUAGGACCUUCUGAGUAGAUCUUCUGAAUUUUGCACGCAUUUGCAUUUGGAGGGGAACUGGCAUUACCUCUGUUCCAUUUCAUCCCAUUGCUGAAAAUGGGGCAGAAGAGCCCAGUUUCACACCACGGGACAGCCACAAUCAGAUAUGGAGCCAGGUUGGUGAGGCAUCAUUUUCCUCUCUCACCACUGGCCACAUUUCAUCACUGAGGCUGAAAGAAUUCGGCUGCAGGGCCCUUGUGGCAUCCACUUGAGGCAGGACAUUCCAGUCCUGCACAGCCUUUGUAAACCUGGUGAGCUGCUGUAUUCACCAGCCCCUCAGACUCUCACAGCAGAAGUUGUUAAAAAGUCUGAAAUGUAAAGUGCUUCAUUGUGAAAUCUCUGCUGCAGCCUCUGCAACUUGGAGAGUUAUUCUAUUUGGUAUUGCUAGAGCUCUCACUGUGAUAUACUUUGGAAUAAUGAGACAUCAAUUCUCAGUCAAGAGGCUAUUUAAAAACACUCCUAAUUUGAUGGGUUGUGCAGAUGAAUUAGUUCAUUCACCACAACUUUUGCCAUUUAUGCUGGUGGUAGGACAGGUGUUGUGUCUCCUGUCUUUGAGAUUCUCCCUUUCUUUCUUGGAAUAACUGGUGUAUUAGGCAUUGUUCUUUAUCAACUGAGCUUUAGUGUUGAGAAUCAGGAAUAGGUAAACUUCCAGACAAGAGAGGGGAUUGUUUGGGAAUUAAAUGGAUCAAAAUAAAACCUGUUGAACACUGGAUGCUUCAAAAAUAUCUGGGCUUCACCCAGAGUGAUGGAGGGCCAAGCCCCAAGGCAUUCAGUGAUGCCUGUAGGAGCACAGCUUUGUCAGUAACUUCUGCUCUAGUUCUCUUGCAGCGCAGAAAACACUGAAGGGGAAAAAGCUUUUCUCCCUUCCUCUUACUCCUAACCCUUCCAGACCUGUAGUGAGAGAUUGUCUGACCAUUUAUUUUGUAUUAAAGGGAAAAGAUGUUCCCAGGAUCCUGGUCAGUGGCCAGGAAAACUCAAAACAACAGAGGCUUUGUACAGAGAAGAGACUGAGUUCCUCCAGGAACAGAAAAGCAGCUGCUGAUGGGACAGCAGGACUUUUUGUUCCUGCACAAGGCUGUCCAGUUAACUGUGCAAAAUAUAAAUUUGAUGGCCAGAUACGGAUCAAAUAGAGAACACAGCAGAGUCCUGCUUUGCAGCAGCAUCCCUAGAGAUGCCAGUGUCUGCAUGGGUAAGGAGAGCCAUAUCUUGAGCUGCACGGUGAAGAGAAGUGCUCAUGGUUGCUGCCAAGCUGCAUCUGCUCUGCUGUGAAAGGAGGCUUUCAUCUUUAUGCCUAGUGAUCAGGGGAAAAAAAAAAAAGACCCAAAACAAAAAAAAGCUUCAUUGCUUUUGCCAGAAAGAUCACCUUCUCUGGUCCCCUGUGUGGAACAGGUGGUGGAUAUGGUAGCUUUUAUUGUUUAUGGUGAGAAACUAAAUUCCUGUAAGUGGGUUAUUUUGUGUGUUUUUAAUUUUGUAAAUACUUCCACCCCAGUAUCCCAAGAGCACGAACAGCCACUGACAAAUGAGUAAAAGUGUCUCAACUGUGUGCAUGGUGAAUUGAAUUCCAGUAUAUUUUACAAAAAAUUUCUCUUCUGAAAGGAUUUUGUGGUGGUGUUCAAAUGGAUGGGGGGCUUUAGGAAUAGUUGGAGGUUAAGAAAAAGAAAAUAGCUCUGUUAGACCUUGGAGAAGUGUUGAGCUAAAAGGGCUAAGAAUUGAGGUGGAGGAAAAAUGCAUUUAAAUGCUUUUAGAUGAACCACUGUGUCUUUACAGUGGACCCUAAAAAUUGAGUGGAGGGAGAGUGGAGAAUGGGGCAAAUAUUCCAGAUAUACAGAGAUCAUGCAGCUGUAGGAGGGACUAGGAAUUCAAAUUAUGAUCCAGGGGAAGAUAGUAAUGCUCCUAUUUGCUCUAUCUGAGAAGUUCUUGGGUAUAUGUAACUGUAGAAGAGUCCCCCCAAAAAUCUCUUAGGAUCAAGAGCAGAAGAGAUGGAAACCUUGGAAGAGAAGCACAGGUAUACUCUAGGGACAGCAAACAGAGCAGGGGAGCAUCCAGGUGGAGUAUUUUGUGGACAGGAGGUUCCUCUGGAGAGGUGUGAUUAGCUAUGACCUUGUAAGUGGUUCAUCAAAAGAGAUUUCUGGACUAGGUUGGGGUGUGACUGCUGGAGCACAAAACUGACAUGCCCUGUCCACACUGGUGGAUGUGCACAUGAAUGUCCUGUUCAUGCCACAAGUCAUUCAGCUGAGGGCUCUACAUCUGAAAAAAACCCCAGGUCACAGUGCUCUAAUAUGGUGGUGUGAAUUUGGAAGCAUCCUAAACAUCAAGUCAUCUCGGAAAUGAUGGCUUUGCUGGGUAAAGACCUCAGUUGUUCUGCUCGGACAAAAGAACGUUUGUGAACUUCUGUAGGACUCUGAGUUCUGCACAGGAAAAUAGAGACGAAGAACAGAAUUCUGCUGCAGAUUCACAUCAUGCUUUCGUUCCACCUAAGCCCCUGGGAGCACAAGGGAGUUUACACUGUUCUGUCAGGAGCCUGCGACCCAGUGAACAACAACAGCUGGACGUGUUGAGGCUGAUGUCAGCUUCUGGAUCAUCUCCUUUGGCAGCCUGAGUCACUGCUCUCAAAAUGAUCCUGUGCACCCUCUGGGUGGAGUACACGACACUCAGGACUGCAAGGAAUUUCUCCAAGCCAGAUGUGAAUAUACCUCAAACCCAAGCCAUCACCAGCUUCCUGCAUUGCUCUCAAGAAGAGCAGGAGAAGGAAAUGCACAAAGCCAGAGCAGCCUCAAAGUGGCUGAUGCAGAUGAGUGCAGAGACAUCCCAUUUCUGCUCCAGCAGCUUCAGGGAACUGGGAAAUCUCUCCCUGCACACCUCAGCCCAGAGACAUUGCCUCGCCCAAAGGAGUACACAGCAGAGUGAAAGGACAAAAUUGACUUUAAAAGAGGAAAAUUAAUUUGCUAGCACAGUACAUGAGUUAUCUGUGAGACUAGGAACAGACCUUACUCCUCCUGCAUCUAUUUAUUGAGUUGCUGGACCAUAUCUUCUCUAAUGGACAGCCCCUCUAGUUAGCUUCACAUGGAGGACUUUGAUGUACUGUUGGAGUAUGGCAGAUGUAUUUAAAUAUCCACCUUUCUUAUUUAAGUGUGUUUCAUAUUUUAAAGCUAGGGACAGGCUAAAGACAGAAUUUAUUUUUUGGUAUUAAAUUUCUUGAUUGGUUUAGAACUAAAUAAUUUAUAUAUAUAUAUUUAUAUAUAUAUAUAUAUAUAUAUUUCAAAUUAAAGCCUUCCAAGGCUUUUCAAGAUUUACAGUCCUUUAGCAGUGAAUAAUGGCUUUAGGACACAGAAGGAAUAUUUGAAAUCUUUAUUAAACUUUCUAUAUGAUAGCUUCUCCUACUAAUACAGUCAGACUUUGGGGUUUAUCACAGUUUCUAUCAAGAAUCCUGAUUUUUCAGGGGUUUAGAACAAUGUGGUCUUAAAACCUGCCCACAGCUAAAACACAUUUUUGGUCUUAUCACACCAAGCUUAUAGUAAAUUGGAAUAGAAAUUAGAAAAGUGCAAGAAUAGUUCUGUCAUCUCUGGUUACUUCUUGUAGAAAGCCAUAAAAGUUCAGAGUCUUGGCCAGCCGUAAAAGAUAAUGUUCCUUUCAUCUCAGUAUUGCCUAUCUGACAAUUUAUGUUUUUUCAUGAUGCUGAAUUAUCACUGCCUGCACAUGGGAAACCACAAUGUGGAAAGAAAGAGACCUGGACCCUGGCUGAGAGCCUGGGGUGCAGUCACCCUCACCACGCUCUGCUGUCCUGAAAAAAGAUGGAAAGCAGGUCUUCCUUAAAAAGAAACUUCCCUCUGUAACAUCCCAUGGCAGCAAGCCUCACAAGUUUUGCACAGAAUUUAGCCAUUUAACUGUUUGCUGUGUUAGUGUUUCACCACUCUUAUUUCUCUUGAUUUGCAUUUUUAGGAUGAAGCAAGCUGUGGUGAUUCCUUGUUACAGAAUAUGAAACUUCAAAAACCUUUUAAAUAUUUUUCUUAUUUUUAUUUUUUAAAGUCUUUUGGGGUUUUUAUUCAGUUAGUUAGUUAGUUAGUUAGUUAGUUAGUUAGUUAGUUAGUUAGUUAGUUAGUUUGUUUGUUUGUUUUUUGGGUCAAUAUAGACUUUUGUCUCCAGGUGCAGCUGUAACAGGAGUAACAGCAAAUGCAGUAAAUUACAUAUGAGACACACCAGUAGAGGCUGAUAUAACCACCCACAGCUAAAAGCAAUGGAUUAUUAGCAUACCUGCCUAUCAAUAAAAUACUGAUGUAAUAAUUUAAACCUUUAUAAAAGAAGCCCUUUCAAUCUCUGUUGAUGACUUUACAUUAAAAUUGUUUUCAAUUUGGAAGAUGUUGCUGUGACCAGCUUGAAAGCUGUAAUUAAAUUUUUUGAAAAAUAAUAGCUAGUUUUGUGGUGGCCAAAUGUGUAAGAUGCAUUUCCAUACGGAGGGUGGGCUUUGUUGAGGCUUUGCUAGUCUCAGGACAUAAGCAAAAGAAAGUUUAUAGUUUCCAAUUAACUCUUCUGUCAGAGAUGGUCUAACAAAUGCAUAUCUGAUUUGGCUCAGAGAAUAUGUUCUUAGCUUUGAAGUAUUUCAAACAUAAAGGAAAGUUCUAACAGUGGAAAUACUUUCUGCUUUUUUCCAGCUGCACCUGGCUUGUCUAUUUAAACAGAUGACUACAACUGGCAAAUGUUGUCUGCAGCGAGGUCAGUUUGAUACUUCUGGAACCCUUUAUUCAGAAGGACUGCUUUUCCUAAGGAAUUUCCAGAUUCCAUUUCAGCUGGAGAUGGGUGAUGUCAAACCUGCCAGCAUUUCUUAGCAGAUGUGUGAAAUCCCAGUUUUCCACCAGGUCUUCUACACAGACAGACAAGUUUAUUCAGAUGUGGGCACUGUAUUUCCCCUGGCAACCUUAAACAGUUGUAGGCAUUUCUGGCUUGGCAGGUGCCUGAGCAAGCCUCACUUGUGGGUGAGUAGCCACAGCUCCAAGGCAGAGGUACUUGCCUGAAGCACUCUCUGUGUUUCAGAGAACCCUCUCUUCCUGUGAGGAGCCUUGGAGAGCUUUUGAGCAUCCUUAUUCCCAAUAUUGCUGAAGGUAGACCCUUGUCUCUGCCUGUCUCUCUCUGGGAAAAUGGAUGUAAAGGUGGGAAGGAAUAUGCAUUUCCAUGUGCAGACUGUGAAUUGGACAGCUAUUGGCUAGCUGGGUCAUUUCAUCUUGAAAUUUAAGCUGACUUCAAGCAGGGACAGGAAAUCCUCCCUUUGCUGGAGGCCACUUUUUGCUCCUGCUCUUGGUGGAUUUCCCUUUUGCACAUCCUUCCGUGGAACUCCAGAGUUACACCUUCCACCUUGUGCCUGCCCCUCCUCUGAAAAUAAUGUGUGCAUGGACAUGUGACAGAAGGUUGCAGACUACUCCCAUCCCACAACCUGACAUGACAGCAUCAAAAGGUUUUUCUGUUGUUCUUACUUAUUUUUCUUCCCAUUCUACAAGUCCUGGUGAGACUGAUGUUGAUUUUAUUUUCUUUUUCCCCCUCUCCAGAAUUAUUCAUGUGUUACCAUUGUAAAUGCUGCUGGAUUGCUAAUUAAAUGCUAUUUAGAGUUAAA